rnacentral:rRNA from 1 species
UGGGGAAUAUUGGACAAUGGGCGCAAGCCUGAUCCAGCAAUGCCGCGUGUGUGAAGAAGGCCUGCGGGUUGUAAAGCGCUUUCAGUAGAGAAGAAAAGUUUAGGGUUAAUACCCCUGAAUCUUGACGUUACCUACAGAAGAAGCUCCGGCUAACUCCGUGCCAGCAGCCGCGGUAAUACGGAGGGAGCGAGCGUUAAUCGGAAUUACUGGGCGUAAAGCGCGCGUAGGCGGCUUUGUAAGUCGGAUGUGAAAGCCCUGGGCUCAACCUGGGAAUUGCAUUCGAUACUGCAGAGCUAGAGUAUGGUAGAGGGAAGUGGAAUUUCCGGUGUAGCGGUGAAAUGCGUAGAUAUCGGAAGGAACACCAGUGGCGAAGGCGACUUCCUGGGCCAAUACUGACGCUGAGGCGCGAAGGCGUGGGGAGCAAACAGGAUUAGAUACCCUGGUAGUCCACGCAGUAAACGGUGAUCACUAGGUGUAGCGGGUAUUGACCCCUGCUGUGCCGCAGCAAACGCAUUAAGUGAUCCGCCUGGGGAGUACGACCGCAAGGUUAAAACUCAAAGGAAUUGACGGAA